rnacentral:misc_RNA from 1 species
AAGUCGUAACAAGGUUUCCGUAGGUGAACCUGCGGAAGGAUCAUUAAAAUAAUAAUGAAUGUCGGGGGGGGAGGGCGCUUCGGUGCUUUUUUCCCUCCGUGUAUUCAACCAAACCCGCUCGUGUAUUUGGAUCAACCAAAAAAAUCAAAUAAAAUUUUCUAACGAUAAUAAUUAAACAAACUUUCAACAACGGAUCUCUUGGCUCUC